rnacentral:rRNA from 1 species
UACGUAGGUGGCGAGCGUUGUCCGGAUUUACUGGGCGUAAAGAGCGCGCAGGCGGCUGGUCAAGUCCGAUGUGAAAGCUCCCGGCUUAACUGGGAAAUUGCAUCGGAAACUGAUCGGCUGGAAGGUGGGAGAGGGAAGCGGAAUUCCCGGUGUAGUGGUGAAAUGCGUAGAUAUCGGGAGGAACACCAGCGGCGAAGGCGGCACUCUGGGCUGGAACUGACGCUGAGGAGCGAAAGCGUGGGUAGCAAACAGG